UCCGAUCAGUCGGCCGCAGACUGAGGUGCGGCUAACUUUUGAAAUUUGUACUGAAUUUUGUUAUCUUCAACAACUAUAAUUAAGCUUAGAAGAUGGAACAAAAUAUUAAGAUCAACAUUGCACAUAAUAUAAGACGCUUCCGAUCGCUACUCGCAGAUUCAUGGCGCACAUGACGUCUCACGCAAAGAAGUUAAUCGCUUAUCAGAUGCCGGCGAACGCCAGCUGCGGUCUGCUCUUUGCUUGUAGUAAUAUCUUUCGUCGAAUACAAACGAUAGCGAAAGUGAAUAGAUAAGGUGUUGCGGCAGGAAGUAUGAGAACUCCAACCUCGCACAAUUCCAACAGAUGCGUUAGCAAUUGUUAUCUCAUGUGAAAUGUCACGCCUAUAUAAGUGAUAAAGAAGCAGUAGGUAAUCGUUCAUUCUAUUCAACCUGCAUUUUCAAAUUUAUCCUGUAAAAAUUUUCCUAUAAAAAUUUAAUAAAUAUGAU
rnacentral:misc_RNA from 1 species